rnacentral:other from 1 species
AAGUUCCUGCGGUGUUCGUGAUGCUCUUGAGAUCUUGAGCUAACACCGAAGUUCGAGGGCUGAUCUCUUCUUGUAUUAUGUUCGCUUUUUGCGAACGACUGCAGGAAGGUAAGCCCAUUAGUGUAUGAGGCUUGGGUUCAAGACUCUUGGUACACGGCACUGUGGGAGUAUU